rnacentral:rRNA from 1 species
GCAUAUCAAUAAGCGGAGGAAAAGAAACCAACAGGGGAUUGCCCCCAGUAACGGCGAGUGAAGCGGCAACAGCUCAAAUUUGAAAUCUGGCCUCGUGCCCGAGUUGUAAUUUGUAGAGGAUGCUUUUGGCGACGCGCCUUCCGAGUUCCCUGGAACGGGACGCCAUAGAGGGUGAGAGCCCCGUCCGGUCGUGCGCCUAGCCUCUGUAAAGCUCCUUCGACGAGUCGAGUAGUUUGGGAAUGCUGCUCUAAAUGGGAGGUAUACGUCUUCUAAAGCUAAAUACCGGCCAGAGACCGAUAGCGCACAAGUAGAGUGAUCGAAAGAUGAAAAGCACUUUGAAAAGAGGGUUAAAUAGUACGUGAAAUUGCUGAAAGGGAAGCGCUUAUGACCAGACUUGGGCGCGGCGGAUCAUCCGGCGUUCUCGCCGGUGCACUCCACCGCCCCAGGCCAGCAUCAGUUCGCGCCGGGGGACAAAGGCUUCGGGAAUGUGGCUCUCUCGGGAGUGUUAUAGCCCGCUGCGUAAUACCCUGGCGCGGACUGAGGUCCGCGCUCUGCAAGGAUGCUGGCGUAAUGGUCAUCAGUGACCCGUCUUGAAACACGGACCAAGGAGUCGUCUUCGUAUGCGAGUGUUCGGGUGUCAAACCCCUACGCGGAAUGAAAGUGAACGUAGGAGAGAGCUUCGGCGCAUCUCCGACCGAUCCUGAUGUUCUCGGAUGGAUUUGAGUAAGAGCAUACGGGGCCGGACCCGAAAGAAGGUGAACUAUGCCUGUGUAGGGUGAAGCCAGAGGAAACUCUGGUGGAGGCUCGCAGCGGUUCUGACGUGCAAAUCGAUCGUCAAACAUGGGCAUGGGGGGCGAAAGACUAAUCGAACCUUCUAGUAGCUGGUUUCCGCCGA